UGGUGAGUUUUUUCUGUAAAAUAUGACUUUCUAAGUGCUCAAUUUCUAUUGUAACAUAAAAUCAUAAUGAAACGACAUAGUAUUUUUGUAGUUUUAUCUAUCUUUUUUAGGUAUUUAUUCUCUAUCUUUUUAUUAGGUCUUUUGUUUUUUUUUUUUUCUGUAAAAUCUUCAUUAAGCUUGUCUGGUAGGCUUAUUUCAGAAUGUGUUUCUUUGGUUUUCAUGAUUAUUUGAUAAUGUCUUGUGUGUUUGGAUGAUUUUUUGUUGGUUGUUUGAGAAUCUAUUUCAGAUUCUGUCAGCAUUCUUAUGAAUAACCAGUUUUAUUAGAUGAUGAUGAUGUUCUAGUCAAAUCUCUUUUUAUGGGUGUGUGAUCAUUGAAUACUUCAUCUGCUAAUGUUUAUUCUCUUUCCUAUUUGGGAUGUUCCCCUGUAAGAUCAUCAACAACCCAAAGAGACAUUAAUACUAGAAGUUAUCUAAGCCCUAAGAGCCCAAGAUUUGUAACUUACCAAAUGUUCAACCUCUAUCUGUUCGAUGAAAUGCCUAGGAAAUCAGUUGAAGCCUAAAAUACAAAAUUGAACUAGGAUCUUGGUUAGGUCGAGAUGAUUAUGUUGGGAGCUUAACCUAUAAGUACCAAAUGAAGUUCAGGAAAUGCUCCAUUGAAAAGGAUGCUAAAGCAGCAUUUGCUAACUCUGUUUCAGAAGUUACACAGAUACCUGAGAUUCUUUGGGUGUCAAAGUAGAUUAAGGAGAAGCUGAAAGAAGUUGAUCAAAAUGGAAAUGAUGGGAUAAGCAUACUUCAUUUGAAUCAAUAAAAAAAAAGAUGUUGAAUAUUGCAUGGAAAACGCCUUCAACACUUAUUUAGUAUGCCUGGUAAUUUUUUACACAAGAUAUUUUGUUAUUUAGUCAGAUGUUUUAUUUAUUUAAAAAGUUUUUUUACUUAUUAUGUACUGAAUUGGGAAAUCAUAGAAGGGAAA